UACGAAGGGGGCUAGCGUUGUUCGGAAUCACUGGGCGUAAAGGGCGCGUAGGCGGCCAUAUAAGUCGGGGGUGAAAGCCUGUGGCUCAACCACAGAAUUGCCUUCGAUACUGUAUGGCUCGAGACCGGAAGAGGUAAGUGGAACUGCGAGUGUAGAGGUGAAAUUCGUAGAUAUUCGCAAGAACACCAGUGGCGAAGGCGGCUUACUGGUCCGGUUCUGGACGCUGAGGCGCGAAAGCGUGGGGAGCAAACAGG
rnacentral:rRNA from 1 species